rnacentral:rRNA from 1 species
GUGGGGAAUAUUGCACAAUGGGCGGAAGCCUGAUGCAGCAACGCCGCGUGAGGGAUGACGGCCUUCGGGUUGUAAACCUCUUUUAGCAGGGAAGAAGCGAGAGUGACGGUACCUGCAGAAAAAGCGCCGGCUAACUACGUGCCAGCAGCCGCGGUAAUACGUAGGGCGCAAGCGUUAUCCGGAAUUAUUGGGCGUAAAGAGCUCGUAGGCGGUUUGUCGCGUCUGCUGUGAAAUCCCGGGGCUCAACCUCGGGCCUGCAGGGGGUACGGGCAGACUAGAGUGCGGUAGGGGAGAUUGGAAUUCCUGGUGUAGCGGUGGAAUGCGCAGAUAUCAGGAGGAACACCGAUGGCGAAGGCAGAUCUCUGGGCCGUAACUGACGCUGAGGAGCGAAAGGGUGGGGAGCAAACAGG